rnacentral:tRNA from 2 species
GCGGGAGUGGCGGAAUUGGUAGACGCGCUGGAUUUAGGUUCCAGUGCCGCGAGGCGUGAGAGUUCAAGUCUCUCCUCCCGUACCA